rnacentral:rRNA from 1 species
UACGAAGGGUGCAAGCGUUACUCGGAAUUACUGGGCGUAAAGGGUGCGUAGGUGGUCGUUUAAGUCCGUUGUGAAAUCCCUGGGCUCAACCUGGGAAUGGCAGUGGAUACUGGACGGCUAGAAUGCGGUAGAGGGUAGUGGAAUUCCCGGUGUAGCAGUGAAAUGCGUAGAUAUCAGGAAGAACACCAAUGGCGAAGGCAGCUCUCUGGGACGGUACUGACGCUGAGACGCGAAAGCGUGGGGAGCGAACAGG